GGGUUAGUAACGCGUGGGAACAUGCCCUUCUCUACGGAAUAGCCCAGGGAAACUUGGAUUAAUACCGUAUACGCCCUUCGGGGGAAAGAUUUAUCGGAGAAGGAUUGGCCCGCGUUGGAUUAGGUAGUUGGUGGGGUAAUGGCCUACCAAGCCUACGAUCCAUAGCUGGUUUGAGAGGAUGAUCAGCAACACUGGGACUGAGACACGGCCCAGACUCCUACGGGAGGCAGCAGUGGGGAAUCUUAGACAAUGGGGGAAACCCUGAUCUAGCGAUGCCGCGUGAGUGAUGAAGGCCUUAGGGUCGUAAAGCUCUUUCGCCAGGGAAGAUAAUGACUGUACCUGGUAAAGAAACCCCGGCUAACUCCGUGCCAGCAGCCGCGGUAAUACGGAGGGGGUUAGCGUUGUUCGGAAUUACUGGGCGUAAAGCGCACGUAGGCGGAUCAGAAAGUAAGAGGUGAAAUCCCAGGGCUCAACCCUGGA
rnacentral:rRNA from 1 species